rnacentral:misc_RNA from 1 species
UGUGGGAGCGAGCUUGCUCGCGAUAGCGGUGUAUCAGUCGACAUUAGUUGAAUGUCAGUACGCAAUCGCGAGCAAGCUCGCUCCCACA